rnacentral:lncRNA from 1 species
ACUUAAUGAAAAAUAGGUCUGUAUCAUAUAGACACCUUUUGGUGCAAUACUUGCAACCUACUUUAAGCCUGUAAGAUAAUUUUUGCAAUUAUUCUUCCAAUAUCCUAACUUACCACAAAAAUAAUAGAUAAUAUCUAUGGGGCAUUCUUUGCCUUCUUAUUAUCAUUUUGACCGAAUCAAGGUCAGGAUUUUUUAGAACAUCGGAGGUCUUCUCCUGUGUGAAUCAAAUUCGCAAGUUUCUUAACUAGUCCAU